rnacentral:rRNA from 1 species
UACGUAGGGUGCGAGCGUUAAUCGGAAUUACUGGGCGUAAAGCGUGCGCAGGCGGUUUUGUAAGCCAGAUGUGAAAUCCCCGGGCUUAACCUGGGAAUGGCAUUUGGGACUGCAAGGCUGGAGUGCGGCAGAGGAGACUGGAAUUCCUGGUGUAGCAGUGAAAUGCGUAGAUAUCAGGAAGAACACCCGUGGCUAAGGCGGCUCUCUAGUACGGUACUGACGCUGAGACGCGAAAGCGUGGGGAGCAAACAGG